GGGAGUAUAGUAUAACUGGUAAUUAUUUAUGACUUCUAAUCAUCAAGAUACCAGUUCGAAUCUGGUUACUUCCA
rnacentral:tRNA from 1 species